AUUGCUUCCCCUGUCCUUCCUUUAGCUGUAACUCCGGCGGGCGUGUUGGGUGUGUCGUUUUAGGCUCUGUGACCCAGGAGCAAGACGCAAUAAGCGGGUGCAGUGGAGGUAGAAACGGGAAAUGCAGUACCCUUUCCGGAAGCUACUCCGCCCCUCGGUGAGUGUUAGAUUCCCCCCCCGAACUACAAUUCCCAGAAUGCUGUUCGAGCAUGCCCGAAGGCGGAACCAGAGUGUCGCCAUGCAACUGUUCCUUGGUUGUUUCCGAUUGGUUGCCCGGACUUCUCGCGGCUAAACUAAUUUUGGCUCCAAGGCGGCGUGAAGAGUGUGAUUCUGUUCAGCGACCGUGAUUCUGUUCAGCGACCAUGAUGUUGAGCCCCUAAUUGAGAGUCUGUUACCACUAUUAAUAGCUACUCUGUUCGGGCCCUACACAUAACGGUGUAUCUAAACCUCUCUACAAUUUUAUGGACAGAGUCUUGCUGUGUCGCCCAAGCUAGAGUGCAGUGGUGUCAUCUGGGCUCAUUGCAACCUCCGCUUCCUGGAUUCAAGCAAUUCUCAUGCCACAGCCUCCCAAGUAGCUGGGACUACAGCUAGAAGAAUUGAAUUCUUCCGUGUAUCCUUUGCCAACUGUCAGUAGUGAAGUUUACAAUUUAUAAUUUCUGGUGAAUAGUCUCAAUCAAGUUUUAGAAAGAUGUGUUAUUAGAUAUGGUGAAAAAAGACACAGUAUUAUUCACUAGGGCCAUCACUCUUACUCUUUGGUUUGUUUUCUUUUUUUUUAUUUUAAGAGACAGGUCUCGCUCAGUGGUUCAGGCUGGAGUGCAGUGGCAUGAUCACGGCUCAGUGCAGCUGCAACCUCCUAGGCUCAAGUGAUCCUGUCACUUCAGCCUCCUGAGUAGCUGGGACCAUAGGUGCUGCCACCAUGCCUGGCUAAUUUUUUAAUUCUUUAUAGAGACAGGGUCUCACUAUGUUGCACAGGCUGGUCUCGAACUCCCGGCCUCAAGCAAUGCUCCUGCUUUGGCCUUCCAAAGUGCUGGAAUUACUGCGUCCAGGCUAUAAUGACUCUCUUAAUAGCUAAAUCUAUUAGCAGACGGAAAUAAUUGAUGCUACCUUAUUACAUAAAAUAGAGCAUUUAUAGGACGGUGAUAAAAUUAAAGCAAGCAUUUCUUAGUGAAACAAACCAUUGUUCCUGAUUGUUCAUCAGGUAAUUUAUCAUAAAAUUAUUUUUCCUUUAUACACAUGUGGAGUUAUAGACAUUUAUGUUGAAUGCUUUAAAAUUGUCUUUAGUUUUCUCUCAUAUUGCCUUAGUUUGUAGUAAUUUAGAGUAAUUAGAGUAAUAUGAGUAAUUAGAGUAAUUUCUCAUGUUGUCUUAGUUUGAUUACUUAUAAAUUAUUCAGUACUUUCUUUCAUUAAAACAUUAUUAAUAAUAUGAUAUUUGAAAAGGUAAUAUUCUUUAUUGAAGUUAAAUUAGUUUAUGUUCUCAUAGCACAUUUUUUGUUGAUCUGAAUAAGUUAUGUUACUUGGCUAACAAUGCCCAGACAACCUUACUAUUAACUCUAGCAAUCUAGGAUGUAGAAUUGUGUUGAGAUAAGUAGAAGUCAAAAGAAAUAAAAGGUUGGAAUCAGUGAAGAAAUUAAACAUCAUUUAAAUUAUCAACAUGUCCACCUGAGACUGUAAUUGAGAAGGAAAAAAGAGGAUCAGAAUUGAGUUUCAAGAAGCAGCCUCUUAACUUUCCUAUCUUUAAAGGAUCAAACUUGAUAAGGAGUCUAGAGUGUUUCCUUGACAAUCUGAGGGAAGGAACUAUGGGCUCAUGGCCUACUAUGUCAUGCUAAAGUUUAGGCGUUUAAUAAUCCAUUGACAAUCAUCAGGCAUUUAGGUAAACAAAAAUGAACAUAUCUGCCUGGAUCCCAUUACUUCAUUUCAGAUCUUAAAUCUUUUGUAAUAACCAGAACAUUACAACAACAUUAAGCCUUUCAUAUAUGAAGUAAUGUAUUUCAGUAGAGGGAUUUCCUAGGCUCUUGGUGGAGUAGUAUGCAGAAUGACUUCAGCCUCCUCUAAUGUUUGGAUAAAACGAAACCUUCAAAUGGAAUAAGUUCCACUGUUGUGUAAAUCAGUCAAGAUUUUUUAAACAACUAUAUAAGCUCAAGAUGGUGGAGGCAAAAUCCCCCACAUAAAACAUUAAGAGAACAAUAAGAAGUAUUCUCUGCUCCUAUACUCUGCUUCCAUCAUGUCUGUACUCUGCUCAGAAACCUCCUAUCCUGAGCCACAGUGUGGUGCCAUAUGCCUGGACUCCCACCUACCUGGGAGGAUGAGGUGGGAGAAUUGCCUGAGUCAGGAGUUCGAGGCCAGCCUGGGUAAUAUAGUGAGACCUUGUCUCUAAAAAUAAACUUUAAGCAAACAAAAAAACACCCUAAAAACUCUCCUGUCCAUCCCUCUUUUUUAGAGAAGGAUGUCCCCAAAUCUGUGCAUGGAAGACAUGUAUUCUAUAAGAUAGUAAAAGAUCUUGCUGAAAAAUAAAUGCCUGAGUAGUUUUUCCAAAAUAUAUUUUUAAAUCUAUAUAUGUAAGAAAAAUUCUAAGCACCUUUAAGAUGUAAUUAACAUGGGAUAAUUUGUCUUUAAGAAAUGAAACUAACUUCUGUGCAUCAAAAAACCACUUUUAAAAAGUUAUAAGAGACAAUUGGCCAGGCGUGGUGGCUCACGCCUGUAAUCCCAACACUUUGGGAGGCCAAGGGAGGUGGAUCACCUGAGGUCAGGAGUUUGAGACCAGCCUGGCCAACGUGGUGAAACCUUGUCUCUACUAAAAAUACAAAAAUUAGCUGAGCGUAGUGGCACGUGCCUGUAAUCCCAGCUACUCGGGAGGCUGAGGCAGGAGAAUCACUUGAGCCCGGGAGGCAGAGGUUGCAGUGAGCCGAGAUCAUGCCACUGCACUCCAGCCUGGGCGACAGAGUGAGACUCCAUCUCAAAAAAAAAAAAGUUAUAAGAGACAAUGAUAAACACUGUAGAAGAUACGUGCUGCACAUAAAACUGAUAAAAUAUUGAUAUCCAGAAUAUAUUAAAAAUGCUGGCAAAAAAAUAUGAGCAGGCAAUUCACAGGGAAGAAGUCAAAAUGACCAAUAAACACACAAAAGAUGUUCAAACUCACUAGUAACUAGGUCAAUGCCAAUUAAAACUAAAAUGAAAUACCAUGUCUUACACUGGCAAAAAAUUAAAUCUGAUAAUGUUAAGUAAUGUCAAGGUGAAACAGGAGUCACAUACCUUGCAGGUGGGAAUACAAAUAAGUACCACUUUGGAGAGUGGAUUGGUAAUAACUAGUAAAUUAAAGAUGUGCCUAAUCCAUCAUACAGUAGUUCCACUUCUAGAUAAACGCACAUGUGCACAAGGACAUAUAUACAAAAAUGUCCAUCACAUCAUUGUUUGUAACAGCCAAAAUUGGAAGCAAUAUAUGUGUCUAAAUGUACCUAAACAGGAGAAUGGCUAUAUUGUGAAAUAGUCAUUUGUUGAUUCAGUGAAUAUUUAUUGAGCACCUGCAGUAUGCUAGUGCUCUCUGAGUAUUAGAAAUAUAUCAGUAAACAAAAUACCUGCCCUCACAGAGCUUAUGUGUUAUUGAUAGGGAAGAGGGAGUGAUGGGUGGGUAGACAAUUUAAGGCUGGCCACGGUGGCUGGCCCAUAUUUUUUCAUUUAAUGCUUAUAGUCUUCUUAGGGAGGCAGUAUUUAGCCUCAUAUCAUAGAUGAGGAAACUGAGUCACAGAGAGAGUAACUCAUUCCAGAUCAGUAUACCGUGGUGUGCUGAUUCAAAUGCAACUGACUCCAUAGGCAAAUCUGUUAGUUACUGGGGAGCUGCCUCUUGCAUUUGUUCUCUCUGGAGUGUUCCCCCUAUGCCGUUUGUCUUUCCUACCAUUCCAGGCUAUGCCUGGGGUCACCUACUGGCCCUCUCCACUGUUUGGGUACCCUUCUGUCUUAGUCUGUCUUAUGUUGCUACAACACAUUACCACAGUCUUGGUAAUUUAUGAUGUACAGAAAUUUAUCUGGCUCAUAGUUCUGGAGGCUGGGAAAUCUAGCAGCCUGGUGCCAGCAUCUGGUGAAAGCCUUUGUGCUGUCUCCCCCUAUGGUGGGAAGUAGAAGAGCAAGAGUGCGCAACAGAGCAAGAGCAGAGGGGGAUGAACUAGCUUUUUAUUAGGAACCCACUCUGGUGAUGACAGCACGAAUCCAUUCAUCCCCUAAUCACUUCUUGACACCAUCACAAUGGCGGUGAAACGUCAACAAGAGUUUUACAGGAGACAGUCAAACCAUAGCACCUUCUUCUUGGGAAUCUUGGAAUAGAUGAGGGGGGACAGUCCUUCUUUUCCCUGGCCUCCUUAUCUUUUCCAUCUCUCCAACACUAGCCCAGCAGGCUGUACAGCCCUAUGCAAAUUUCCUUGAUGAAGAGCUGGAGCAAUUUCACAAAGGAAUUUCACCACAUCAGACUUUCUCUUGAGCGUCAAAAGAGAAGGCAAAUUAACUUAGGCCGUUGGCCGGGCACAGUGGCUCACGCCUGUAAUCCCAGCACUUUGGGAGGCUGAAGCGGGCAGAUCAUGAGGUCAGGAGAUCAAGACCAUCCUGGCCAACAUGGUCAAACUCCAUCUCUACUAAAAAUACAAAAAUUAGCCAGGUGUGGUGGCAGGCACCUGUAAUCCCAGCUACUCAGGAGGCUGAGGCGGGAGAAUUGCUUGAACCUGGGAGGCGGAGGCUGCAAUGAGCCGAGAUCACGCCACUGCACUCCAGCCUGGGUGACAGAGUGAGACUCCAUCUCAGAAAAAAAAAAAAAAAGAAAAAAAAGACUUAGGCCGUUACAGAAAGAGAGUCCCUACUGAAUACUUUCACUGUUCUUCAUAGAAGAAUGUUAAGAUGGCUUGUUUGUACCCCUCCUUUUAAGCACCUCCUUCUGUGGAAUCUAUUAUCUGGGCAUAAGCUUCAAACUUGAUUAGAUUGUUUUAACUCACUAGUUCUUUUUUCCUGAUUUGGUGGCAGUAGUGUUUUCCUCUUCCUUCUACCACACGUUUAUGAUGUUAUUCUAUUUCUAUUAUAAAUUAAACUUUUGUAGCCACACUCAUUCCCCAUGAAUUUGUGGCUGAAAGAAGCCAAUUUUCAAAGAAAAUCCUUCUUGGGUUUCUUACAUUGUGCCUGAAUCCAAAUGCAGAGCUCUGAAUACUUUAAAGUGAAGCUGAACAAUGGCACCAGUAGUUUAUAAAGAGCUGGGAAGAAAGUGACAGAAACAAGGCCCAGAGUGGUGUUUAUGGUGUGUGCUCCCAUUUGAGUGUAAAGAUAGUCUCUCUGCAAGGACACCUGAGACACAGAGAGCAGCGGGUCUCUGGGGAGGUGAACUAAGAUAUUAUAGCUCAGGGGUAGGAGAAAGGGAAACUUGCUGUUUACGCUUUUCCUUUUUGUACAAUUAGACAUUUAGGGUUUUUUGUUUGUUUUGUUUACUAUUAUACACAAUACAUUUUUCAAAAAAAAGUAAUAUAAACUCAAAUUAACAUUCUGGAAAUGAGCUAUUGAAAAUAUUACAGUAAUUUUUGGAACAGCCUAUUUCAAAAGUACUUAAAUAUUGCAAAAUAUGCUUUUUGCUUUUUCCCUUUGCUACAAUGAACCUUGUGAAAUGCAAUUUUUAUACUAUACAGCAGUGAAAGCAAAAUGAAGGAGUAGACCUGAGGUAGUGCCUGAUAUAAGAACCUGACCUGCAACAUUACUGUUAAUAUCAGGUGGUCACAUUAUGGGGAAAGAGAUCCCCUCCUCAUGUAAAAAUGUUUUUGCAUGUUGUUUUGUAUAAUAAAAGUGUGAAAUGGGUGAGAUUUAGCAUUAUCUUUAAUUUGUUCUUACUAAAGUAAGUGUUUUGAUUUUUCUGUGGGUUAGGUGUGUUAAAACUGGAGAAAAAACAAAUUUUGAUCAUUUAUCUGAGGGGACAUUUUUGGCUGCUUGCUUUAAUCCAGGCAGGCACCGUAUCUAUUGAUCUUCUGAUGGUGUUUCAUCAAGAUGUUAUACUCAAAAGCUUUUAAUUUCCUUUUUUUUUUUUUUUUUUUCUGAGAUGGAAUCUCACUCUGUCACCCAGGCUGGAGUGCAGUGGCGCAAUCUCAGCUCACUGCAACCUCUGCCUCCCUGAUUUAAGCGAUUCUCCUGCUUCAACCUCCCGAGUAGCUGGGACGACAGGCGCGCACCACCAUGCCCAGGAACCUGUGGUGAUAAGGAAGAUGUGAGCCUGGAGAUACAGAAGCUACCACAUGAAUGUUAAAAAUGAAGCUGACGCAGCAAAAGGCAGUGCCAAGGAACUAAAAGAAAACAAAUUUUGAUUACAUUUUUGGAGUUCCUGGGUCAAGCAGUUCAUGACACUGAGGCUUUUCCGCUACAUGAAUAAGUACUUUUUCUUUCCCGUUAAAGUGGGUUUGUGCUGGCUUCUCUAUCACUCACAACAACUGGAUACUAACUGAGGCAACACUUCCUACCUCUUACACACAUUACACCCAUAAAACAGAAACAACAUCUAAAAUUAGAUUUCAACACAGCUACCAAGCAGAAAAGUUCAAAUCAACAAGUUAUGGAUAAUGUUUUAUUGAAACUACAUUUCUCCUCCCAAUGUGAGUAUGGUGUUGGCCAACAUGUUGCGUGUUGAUUCUGCUUGCCUUUGUGUCCUACAUAUAGGAUGUGUACUGUGUAAUGAAUCGUUUCUUCAUUAUUUUUCUCAGCUUGCAUGGUUGCCUCCCUCACCUCCAUUCACAGAGCUCACUGUGACAGCAUUCAACCUUGUCUUGGUACAAGUGUGUAAUUUACAUAAUAGUCGCCUCUGUACUUUCCUCAGUAACUUAAACAAAGAAGACCAUCACUCACUGUGCUUGCCUUUCAAAUUAGAUUUGAUAUCAAAUUAAAGUCUCAUUUUAUUAAGUUUCUGAAGCCAAAGUCUUUGACCUAUGAAAGUAUGUUUCAAUUAUGAAUGGAAAAGAGAAGCUUUGUGUUAUUAACAGGAAAAGAAUUCAAGUGUGAUGGUUGUGUCAAUGCCAUUGGGACAUGCCAGUAGUCAGUAACUCAACAGACAAGCCUGCUAGACCUGCUUUACUCAUUUGUGGCGCUGUUUCUUCACUUUCUACUGACUCCCACCUGUGUUUCAUAAUUCUCUACAUUGAUAUGGUUUAUUACUUCUCAUAGGGAUCUUAAAUUAAUUGUGCAACUCGUUAGAGUCUCUUUAUGUAAAAUACAUAGUCUUCAUACUAUUAGAAUGUUACAAUCUGGACCUACCAAUGUGAACAAGUGAAAAAAUGUGCUGUUUAUUUUAACCAGCAGUGGUGUUUUAGUUAGCUAUUUAUCUCCUUAUCUCCCAAAUCUCAAAAACACUCAGUAGUUUACAACAUGAAGCUUUUUUUUUUUUUUUUUUGCUUACAGGUCUGUGGGUCAGCUGGGAUAACUCUGCUUCAGACUGUGGGUCAUCUUGGCUUGGCAGACUUUAGGUUAAACAUAAGACUGUGUGUCUCAUUCUGGGGCCCAGACUGAAGGGAUAGCAGCUAGCUGGUGCAUGCUGUCUUCGUGGCAAUCACAGGGGUGCGAGAGGCGGAGCUGAAGGACGCAAGCACAUUUAAGUCUUUUGCGUGUGUCAUGUUCAAUGACAUUCCAUGUCCAGAGCCAGCUACAUGGGUGGAUCAUGAAUAGAGGGGAGAAAUACACCCCACCCACUUCAGUGAGCUUUAGGUUUACAUGACUGAGGGAUGGAGGGAAGAAUUUUGGACAAUAAUCUCAUCUAGUACAUAUGGCUUCAAUUUGUAUGAACCCUAUCUCUACUCCUCCAACCUUCUGAUCUCAACUGCUAUUGCUAAUAUGACCUGUGGGAGCGAGAGGACUUUCUAUAACUAGGCUGAAUUUUAAAGGAAGAGAAUGACUUCCAGAUAGCUUAUUGGCUAUCAAUCUAGGAGCUCUUACAGCUGAGAAACAUUUUGACCCAACCCUCUGGCUUCUUUGUUGAUUUAUUUUUCUGAUAAAAUUCAUUUUUUUAAAUAUUAAGCUUUAAGAAGUACAUGUGUUUUAAUGCAGUAAAAAAUAAAGCAUAUAUGAUUCAAUCAUUUGUAAAUAUACAGUAUAACUAGUAAGAAAUAAGGGGUCUCAUUCACACCCAGAUUUAUAGGAGCCAGCACUAUGUGCUCGGUAUAUAAUAGAAGCUCAGUUAGUAUUUGUUGAUUGAAGUACCUUUUCUUAUUUACUAAUGAUUAUUAUUAACAGAUAAUAAUUUGGGCCUGAAAUAGACAUUUCCUUUUUUAAUAUAAUUAUAUAUAUGUGCAUAUAUAUAUCAUCAAUAUCCUCUGACUUUAUUAGUGACUGUUAACCACGUCGAAAAAAGUAAAGGUGUUUAUUAUGCAUGCAUAGAAAAAUGAUAUGUUUGUGUUCGCUCUUUUUAGGACCAAGAAAAAAUUAUUGGUUGCUGUUUUCUCAGUUUUGGUUUUUUUUAAAAUAAAUUUUACUGUGUGUAUUUGAGUUUUACAACAUCAACAUCAUGUUAUGAGAUACAUAUAGAUAGUAACAUGAUUACUAUAUUCUCAGUUUUGUUUUAAAAGAAUACUUGUUUAUAUAUCCUUUUGAUGUGGUAAGAGACCUUAGGAGAAUAUCUAAACGGAUAGUUAGAAAUAUGUGUCAAUAUAAGCAAAAUCAAAUUGUCAAGAUUGUAAGUAUCAGCCAAUGAAAAUGCCAGUUAAAAUUACUUUUAAACAGCAUUUAAAAUU
rnacentral:lncRNA from 1 species